CAGUAGCCGCGGUAACACGUAGGUGGCAAGCGUUAUCCGGAAUUAUUGGGCGUAAAGCGCGCGUAGGCGGUUUCUUAAGUCUGAUGUGAAAGCCCACGGCUCAACCGUGGAGGGUCAUUGGAAACUGGGAAACUUGAGUGCAGAAGAGGAAAGUGGAAUUCCAUGUGUAGCGGUGAAAUGCGCAGAGAUAUGGAGGAACACCAGUGGCGAAGGCGACUUUCUGGUCUGUAACUGACGCUGAUGUGCGAAAGCGUGGGGAUCAAACAGGAUUAGAUACCCGAGUAGUCCCUGUCUCUUAUAC
rnacentral:rRNA from 1 species